UACCCACAUCUCCUGUGCACCCACCUG
rnacentral:piRNA from 1 species